GAUGAAGAACGUAGCGAAAUGCGAUAAGUAAUGUGAAUUGCAGAAUUCAGUGAAUCAUCGAAUCUUUGAACGCACAUUGCGCCCGCUAGUAUUCUGGCGGGCAUGCCUGUUCGAGCGUCAUUUCAACCAUCAAGCCCUAGGCUUGCGUUGGAGCCCUGCGGCUGCCCAGGCCCCUAAAAGCAGUGGCGGGCUCGCUAUCACACCGAGUGCAGUAGAUUACUCUUCGCUCAGGGCGUGUGGCGGGUUCCAGCCGUGAAACCCCCUACUUCUCAAGGUUGACCUCGGAUCAGGUAGGAAUACCCGCUGAACUUAAGCAUAUCAAUAAGCGGAGGA
rnacentral:misc_RNA from 1 species